AGGCACGGUGCUAACCCCGGGCUUGUCGGAUUACACCUUGAAGAAGGAAGCCCCAAUGCCUGUGCUAGAUCCACCAUGCCAUUCAGUGUUGCAGGCUAUGACAAAUCUUGUGAUUGGUCUGUGUCAAAGCAAUGGAUACACAU